GGGGAUGUGGCUCAGUUGGUAAAGUGUUUACCUGGCAUGCACAAGGCCCUGGGUUCCAUCCCCAGCACCCCCC